AAAGCAAAGCAAACCCAAAAAUGUUUCUCACAGUAGGAUUUUUAUUUUAGUUUGGAAGAAGAGUCCUUUCAUGUGGAAAGAACAUGAAUGAUUUGAAUUCAAGGAACCACAGAGGACCGCGAGAACAACCACGUGAUCUUUCUGCCUCGGCUCCACUCUCUUGCGGUGUGACUGUGUGGGUCUUUCCGUCAGAGGCAGCUGCUUUCAUGUACCACCAAGCUUUCAGUACUGCUCGGUUUCAGGUGAUGGCAUCGCUACCACCUCCUAGUUGGUGACUUGGUGAGCAACUGACUACGUAGGCAAACCAUCGGACUGAAGCGGCUAGCUGUUGAGAUCAGUGAGAGUCGCUUGGAAGCAGCCUGUUUUGCCAAGGAAGUGAAAUAUAUGUAAGAGAUGAAGACACAGCAGUCCUUCAACAGAGCUCACGGAAUAGCUUCUAGGCCACCCGCCAUCGGCUUGUGAGGCCAAAAAGCAAAAGUUCGUUUUUCAUGAAAUACUGCGUUUUUGCAUCUCUGGAAAGCUGGCGAUGAGCACGGGGCUUGAGUCAAUUGCUUAGAGAUGAAGUCAUCAUUAUAUCCCACACAAGCCUGCUUUAAAUGGAAAUUUCGACCGUCUUUCAUCAAAUAUGGAUUGAUGCUUUAUUCUCCCUCAGAGCUGCUGCCCUUUGAGAGGGCCAAGAAACAGCCCAGGUUAUGUGGUAUUGGGAUGCCAUGGCUAGAUACUCUAGCCCACAGUCCCUGAGAAGGUCUCAGCUGGCCGCCUGUAUCACGUGCGUGACAAAUCCUCUGAUGAUGGCAAAUCCAAGCUUUCUAAUCACACUAAUUGCAGCCGAGGGCCACCUGCAUCAGCUACCUUGCUAAGCCACCCGUGCUGAAGAAGUCCAAGCAAAAGAAAUGCUUUUGCAAUUCUAAUUUUCUUAUGUUAUGUGUUACUGACUCAUGGGAACUAGAACAACAUGGAUCCUAUGUUGAUAAAGAAGCUUCAUAGACCAUGGAACAGUGUUCACUUCACAUUGCUGUCACAGGACACCUGAACAAUCUAGGUCCCCAGCGCACCAGCUCUGAUCUAUCUUCAGUUAAGCAGGACUCGACGCAAAGUCAUAUUGUUGUAGGAGAAUGAGCCUGGGCGCAGUCACCCACUUUCCAAGAGCAUUCAGACUAGAAAGGACUUGCAGGAGUCACAGGUGCUGCUUUCUUCCUCGUCCAAGGAGUUAAGAUACAGGCAUGGGAACCAGGCGCCUGGAAGUUCAAAUGACAACAGCAAGGUCCGACGUAUGACCCGACUGUGCAGCUGAGGGGGCUGGCCUGGGCUUCUCACUGGUGCAAGUUCAGCCCUUGGGAUUGCCUUUCCUGGGGAGGGUUGCCGUGAGCAGCCAGAGGCACUUUCCCAAGAAGGCUCAGGGUGACGAGGGAUGGAAAGAAGUCAGAGUCUAUACCAACAGGGUCUCUCUGCCAUCUCUACAAGGUACCUAAUCUGGGGACCCUCCCUAUGGUGUCACCUGGCAGUCAGGGCUCCUCUGCCUUGACCGGUGACAGAAAGGAGUGUGGGAGGAGACUGGAGGACCCCAGUGGUGUCUCUGCAUAGACACAGGAGUGGGGCAUGUUCUCAUAAGGAGCAGGGGCUCAGUUUCCUCUUCUUAGCUCU
rnacentral:sRNA from 1 species